rnacentral:rRNA from 1 species
CUCCAUGAGGCUGGAUUCGCUAGUAAUCGCGCAUCAGCCACGGCGCGGUGAAUACGUUCCCGGGCCUUGUACACACCACCCGUCAAGCCAUGGAAGCCGGGGGUGCCUGAAGUGCGCUGCCGCAAGGAGCGCCCUAGGGUAAAACCGGUGACUGGGGCUAAGUCGUAACAAGGUACC